UAAGACUCUGGACUGUUUCUGUAGGCAUGUGUCGCCCUUAAGAACAGCGUUAACAGCGGGGCGAGCUUCUGGUUCGGUCUGGAGGACAGACAGGUAGAGGGGCAGUGGCGCUACGCAGAUGGUUCCGCCAUGACUUCCUUCAACAAAUGGAAUCCGGGUGAGCCCAACAACCAAGGCGAUGAGGACUGUGUCCACUACCUUUCUAGUGGCAAUUGGAACGACCUGCCCUGCGGAUCCCGACAGAGGUUCAUCUGUCAAACUGCUCCGCGGUAAUUUCAAGUUAGACGUGAAAACAACAGCGGCAAAGUCUACAUCGAGAUACCCUCUCAUGAUGGUGGAAAAUAUCUCAAAUAAAGGAAUAUUUCAAAUAUUGA